UACGGAGGGUGCAAGCGUUAUCCGGAUUCACUGGGUUUAAAGGGAGCGUAGGAGGGCAGGUAAGUCAGUGGUGAAAUCUUCGAGCUUAACUCGGAAACUGCCGUUGAUACUAUCUGUCUUGAAUACCGUGGAGAUGAGCGGAAUAUGUCAUGUAGCGGUGAAAUGCUUAGAUAUGACAUAGAACACCAAUUGCGAAGGCAGCUUACUACAGGGACAUUGACACUGAGGCACGAAAGCGUGGGGAUCAAACAGG
rnacentral:rRNA from 1 species